rnacentral:rRNA from 1 species
UACGAGGGGUGCAAGCGUUAUUCGGAAUCAUUGGGCGUAAAGGGUGCGUAGACGGUUUGUUAAGUCUGUUGUUUAAGGCUCCGGCUUAACCGGAGAAAGGCAAUAGAAACUGGCAGACUAGAGGGUGAGAGAGAGAAGUGGAAUUUCUGGAGUAGCGGUCAAAUGCGUAGAUCUCAGAAGGAACACCGAUGGCGAAGGCAGCUUCUUGGCUCAUUCCUGACGUUGAUGCACGAAAGCGUGGGGAGCAAACAGG